rnacentral:rRNA from 1 species
GACGAACGCUGGCGGCGUGCCUAAUACAUGCAAGUAGGACGCAGUUGCGAACGGGUGAGUAACGCGUAGGUAACUACCUAUUAGAGGGGGAUAACUAUUGGCAACGAUAGCUAAUACCGCAUACUAGUAGAUGGACCUGCGUUGUAUUAGCUAGUAGGUAGGGUAAUGGGCUACCUAGGCAACGAUACAUAGCCGACCUGGAAGGGUGAGCGGGCACAACGGGACUGGGACAAGGCCCCAACGUCUAAGGGAGGCAGCAGUAGGGAAACAUCGGACAUGGGGGGAACCCUGACCAAGGAACGCCGGGGUAGAGAAGAAGGUUGUCGGGUCGUAAAGCUCUGUUGUUAAGGAAGCGGUACUUAACGAGGAAGGAACGGCUAACUACGUGCCAGCAGCCGCGGUAAUUC